rnacentral:lncRNA from 1 species
UUUUUUUUUUUUUUUUUUUUUCUGGUAAGUAAUUAUGCUUGGAAUAUGAGACAUUCACUCCCUAAGGGCAAGGCUGCAGAGUGGCCUCCUUAUGGAGUUUCUGCUGGUUUUAUAUAUGAGAACUAUAGACCUUAGUCCUGCCAGUAUCUGUCUUACUGGAUUGUGAUUACCUGGAAUGAUUUACAAUUUAACUGGCCAACAAGGGGCUCCUAGGAAAUUCCUAAAUUUGUUUGUCUGUGCAGUUAAUUAGAAAAAGGAUCAAAGAUAAGAAUGGAAGCAUAUUUCAGUUGGUAUUUUGAGGCCUCAAAAAAAAAAAAAAGGAAUGAAUCCACUAUUGCUUGCUUCAGAGAAACUAACUCACAAUUAUCUGUAUGGAUUUCAGAACUGGAAAUUCCUUCUGAGAGUUCUCUGUCUCUCUAACUCUCAUUCUCUCUCUGCCUCUGCUCUUUCCUGUUCCUCUGAAUGUCCACCACAAUGUUCUCCAUCUCUCUCUGAACUUUCUUUUUAUGAUACCAAGACAGAUCCCCUGCAGAAGGCAACAGUCCUAAGGGCUUAAUGAAAAAGUAUACAAUGAUCAUGGCCAUUUUGAAAAACAAAAACAAAAACCACUUUUUAAAAAUUCUGACCCUACGGAAACAAAAGUCUUUCUAGAAAGAAACAUCUCAUGCGUCAAAGUUAGUUUUAAGUAAAAAAAAAAAUUCAUUUAGGAUUUCCCGUUAUGGCUCAGUGGUUAACAAAUCCAACUAGGAAACGUGAGGUUUUGGGUUCCAUCCCUGGCCUCACUCAGUGGGUUAAGGACCCGGCAUUGCCAUGAGCUGUGGUGUAGGUCGCAGACGAGACUCAGAUCUGGUGUUGCUGUGGCUGUGGUGUAGGCCAGCGGCUACAGCUCUGAUAGACCCCUAGCCUGGGAACUUACAUGUACAACCUAAUGCAGCCCUAGAAAAGACAAAAAAAAAGAAAAAAAGAAAAAGAAAAAGAAAAAAACAACUUCAUUUAGUAUUUAAUUUUGGUAAGUUUGUUAAAAAUAUUGAAAGUUUUUUUUCCUUUAAAACACUUGGUCAAAUAGGAUCAUAAGUCACUGUGAAACAAUGCUUAGUUAUUCAUUUAACCAAAAUAACAAAGACUUCAUAGCUAAAUAUAAAAGUUUAUACAGUUUUUAAAAGCCUUAGCUACAAAACAUAGAAUCUUUGUUUUUCUAGAUAGAUUACACUAAAGGUAAAGAAAAUCUUUGUUUACAAUUUCUCAUUAAAGCCAGACAAAUAAUCUCAAAAAUCUUUGUCCUUUGUUGUUGUUUUUUUUUUGGGGGGGGGCACUCCCUGGCAUGCAGUGACAACACUGGGUCCUUAGCCUGCUGCACCACAAAAGAACUCCAACUUUGUCCUUUUAAUGUAGAGAAAAAACAAAUUUUACACCAGUUUACUUUUGAUAUUAAAACUUACUCAUUUAAUUAAAUUCAUAACAAUUUUAGCCAGUCCUGACGGCACACAAAAUUCUUUUCUAAAAAAUUUUUCCACAAACUUUCAACAGCUUUGUAUUUUAGCUUCCUCUUUGUUUUCUUUCUCAUUUAGAAAUAACCAGCUUUAGAACAAAACUACUUUCUUUUCCCUUAACAAAAUGCAUUGCCAUUCUUUGUACCUUUAAAAAUUUUUUUCCUUGAAUACAAAAUUUUUUCCUUAUUAAUGAAGUAGUUUUAAUUAGAUUAAUAUUAUAUAUAUUAGUUUGGAAUUUUAAGCCCUAGAAACAUUAAUGUUUAGUGAAAACUAAUAAAUAAGCCAUUAUGAGCUGUUUUACAUUAGUAGUUUGUAGAUUGGCAAACGUAAUUACUUUUAUAAUUUUAAAAAACCUAUACUUUCUUAUAGAACACUUUGCAGUAUGGCACCAAAUGUAUUUACCAAUAGCCCCAAAUAUCUUUAGUUUCUCUGUAAAAAGAAGCCUAUAUUCAAUAAUUAAUGUUUCGAUUCCUUAUUUUAUUUGGGGAUGGUCUAGAUAUUUAAUAUAUUUCCAUCAUUUAACUUAAUUUAGCAAAACUCUAAAAUUUCAAGUUACCAGUUUGGGGGAACUAUUUUGAGGUAGACACAUCAUAAAACAUAAUUAUUCUUAGAGAGUUCACCUAAAAACUCUUAUCCCACUUAUAUUUAUUUAAUUUGCUUGUGAAAAUAUAUCAAGUUACUUUUACAGCCAACAAAUUUUGUAACAAAGAUAACAUGAGCUUUCUAGACUUUUAGUAAACCAAGCUACAAGAAGAGUAUUCUACUUAACUGUUAAUGACUCUAAAGGAAUGUCUGUAUUAAUUAAACCAAUUCAAUUUAAUACUGAAUAUUAAUUUAAUACUAAAUAUUACCCAGAUCAUGUGACCCUGAAACUCAUUUGGAUUAGAAAUAUAUGACUGUAUUUCUGAAAAUUUAUUUUAAGUGCUUAAUUUUUUAAAGCCAAUUAAAUAGAACUCUUCUAGAAAUUUUGGUAAUACCAUCCAAGAGUAGAAACAUCUCCAAAUAGGCACAGACAGAUAUCUCAUAGUUUUCAUUUCAAAACUUUAGUCAUGAGUCAGGUACAGUAAACUCACUGCUUUAUAAACAAGUGUUGGAAUAAAUUAUAUCUGCUCACUCAGAUGGCUAAAGUAUUUUAUUAUAUGUGGGGAAGACGGAUAAGAUUGCAUUUACCCUUGACAAGGAAUUUUAAGCAGGCUGAUGGGGUAAGAGAGUCCUGGAGUUCCCGUCGUGACACAGUGGUUAAUGAAUCCGACUAGGAGCCAUGAGGUUGUGGGUUCGGUCCCUGGCCUUGCUCAGUGGUUUAAGGAUCCAGUGUUGCCGUGAGCUGUGGUGUACUUCGCAGACGCAGCUCAGAUCCGGCAUUGCUGUGGCUCUGGCAUAGGCCAGUGGCUACAGCUCAGACUCGACA